GGUUCGUGCUGAAGGCCUGUAUCCUAGGCUACACACUGAGGACUCUGUUCCUCCCCUUUCCGCCUAGGGGAAAGUCCCCGGACCUCGGGCAGAGAGUGCCACGUGCAUACGCACGUAGACAUUCCCCGCUUCCCACUCCAAAGUCCGCCAAGAAGCGUAUCCCGCUGAGCGGCGUGGCGCGGGGGCGUCAUCCGUCAGCUCCCUCUAGUUACGCAGGCAGUGCGUGUCCGCGCACCAACCACACGGGGCUCAUUCUCAGCGCGGCUGUAAAAAAAAA
rnacentral:RNase_MRP_RNA from 1 species